AGGAUCUUGAGCUUUAUUCUGAAAGGCUUAUGUGGAAAAUAAACAAGCGGACACGCGAUGGUUUUACAUCGUUGUUGACAACGCAUAAAAAUAGGCGCUUGUCAGGUCGUGUGGUUAUAUUAAAUAUAAGCGAAAGAGAGAACCUUCAAGAAAUGAAUAUAGCCACUACAGUGACCAUCAAGACCAUUAAAUUUGGAUAAUAAAACUCGAGGUGGAAACCAGGAGGCAGCCGGAAGAAUACAUCCGAGGACAGGACACAUCAAGGUGCGGCAUGAGGAGAGAUACAACGGGAGAAAGAUGGUGCAGAGAUAAUCGUGGACCAAGUAAAGAAGCAGACACCAAACUGAGUAGACAAAACACACUAAGAGCUCAAUAUUAUUGAGCUUUAGUCAGUUCUCUGCAUUCUUCAGUGGUUUAAAAAAUGUAGUUGUAGUUAAUUAAUGUACUUUAUUUGAAGCAUUGCAGGCCUUAGUGAAAUAGAGACACAGCUCCUAAACCUUUAAGACAAACAGUGAAGUAAGACAGCUUCUAAAGUCGUUCAAAGUUGCUUAGCCCUGGUAAGCCGCAAAUACGCUAACAAAAAUGAAAAAAUUGUGAUGAUAAAAAAAAGUUUAGUUUGGGAUCUGGAGCUUAAAGAAUUGUUUAGCAUUGUAAGCAUUUAUUAUUUAAAAAAAUGAAAACUCUUCCAUAAGUGAAACUGAUCAAAAGCUGAAGGUUGUGAACAUAUGGAUGUGCACUGUGUUUAUGGAACAAGUGCCAACUUGGUUUAAUCAGUGUGAAAAGAGAAAAUGGGAUGAUCCACACAGUAGUGUGUCAAAAUGUAUUAUUUUCUCAAUCAGCAAAGUAAUUUUGGUCUGUGCUGAUAUCUUUGGUUUAUUUAUAGUUUUUGUAGUGCUCCCUACUACAAAAAUAUAAAGAAGAAUAUAAAUUGUCCAAAAUAUUUGAGAGUUACUAAAUUAGCUUGGCAUGAGUUUCACUGUGGCACAGACGGCUGUCAGCAAACAUCAUGUGUACAGAUUCAUCUUUAAUAUUUCUUGAUUUUGAUUUGUGGACUACCAGUCCAAAAAGAAGGCAGAUUUUUGUUGUAAUCAUCCCAUCCUUUAUUUAUCCCCUAUCUUAUUACAGAAAAUGAUAGCUUUUAUAUGCGUGUGUAACUUUAUAAUUGUGUAUGUGUUAGCCUGAUGUGCACACACUGCCUGAGCCCUGCUUUUCCCUCAGAGAACCUGUACGCCGUGUCCCGUACGCCAGAAAGCUGCUCUACCAGGAGCUGCAGUCCGUGACCAUCAUCCCUCGACUCGAGCUGUCGCGCUACAGCGAGUGAGCAGGACAAGGACAGAGAUGUGUUGGGUGGAGACGAGGUUGUGCUCAGUGUGCUGAGGUGAAGCAUCCAAACCACACAGCCUGUUCUUCAAUCCGGGAUCGUGUCCCAAAUCAGAGCUGCGGAAGGGUAAGCGUCACAGUGAGUGUGCUGCAGCUGAUGUUGACCUGAAGAAUCGUGUCUCGCAGGUACAGUCUGCAGUCUGUGAAGUGGGGCUCCUGCUGCUCAGGUGUUCUCACUGAAGUCCGUUUCACCUGAUGAGAGGAGGCAGCUCUGACUUGAGGCUGUUCAAGAAUGAGCGCCACUUGAUCUGGUUCCACCUCUACCACAGGCAGAGAAACACAGGCCUGGACUCUUUGUUGGCCAGACAAAAUCAGAAACGGAAAUCAUUGGUUUUUACAACUGGGUCCAGUUCUACCUGCAAAGGAUAUGAGGCCAGGGAGCAUGAUUUGGUAAGUAUAACAUUUCACCAGACAGAAGAGUUUGAUUUCCUUUGAUUUCAGUAUUCUCAGCCGGUCGGCCUCAUGUGUGCCUGAUCACAAGUCGGUCCACUUCAUACAUGCACAGUAGCGCAGGCAAAUAGUUGCUCACACGCUCACUGUGGCCAUUAUUGAGCUCACGUUGGGUGGAGAUGAGAAGUUUCAAAGAGAUUUAAUUUAUAUAUUUUAUAUAAUAAAGUAAAUGUACGAAUGACCGGCAAUAAUUCAGUCACUGAAAUUAUCCAUGAAAUUAGCUAAGUAAUUCCUAAAAGUCUGUAGAUUGGCUUUUACAACAAGGAAGCAGGUUUUCUCAUUAGCAGAAAUGCUCAAUAGACAGAAAAACAGAAACCCUAAAAGAAAGUUACCGCGACUUUAAGAGAAACGGCCUUGUUGCAGAUGAAGAGUUGUUUGUUGACAGUAUAGAUGGUUUGUUUUUAAACCUCUUACCACUCACAGAGUCCCCGGUGACGGUCUAGCUAUGUCAGAUGCCAGUCAUUUAAGAGACUAAUCAUGUUUUGGAAUUUAAAUUGUGCAAACUCACUUUGUUCAACACAGCCCAGAGUAACAUUAAAAAUAAAACAUAUUGGAACUAAUUUUGUUGGACGCAAGAAAAACUGGAGCAUCUUUGUAGGGAGCCGAACUAGGGCUUGCAAGUUUUGCAGUGGCUUUGCAGUGACUUUGCUAUCUGCACAGAGCGUUUCUUUAUCGUCAUCGCCGGCGUGCUUUGUACCUCAGGCUCAUCAGAGACAAUCGUAUCCAGCAUUUUAUCAAACUGUUGUCUGCUACAGAGUUAAAAGUAUUGUACUAGUAGUAAUAUAGCAUCCACCAUCUCCUGCU